GACGAACGCUGGCGGCGUGCCUAAAACAUGCAAGUCGAACGAGGCCUUCGGGUCUAGUGGCGAACGGCGGAGUAAUACAUGAACAACGUGCCCCUAAGUCUGGGACAAACGCAGAAAUGUUAUAAAUACCAGAUGUGGCCGGAGAAGGACAUCCUUUUCCGAUUAAAGGUUUUUCGCUUAGGGAGCGGUUCAUGGCCUAUCAGCUAGUUGGUGGGGUAACGGCCUACCAAGGCGACGACGGGUAGGGGUCUAAGAGGAUGAUCCCCCCGAGUGGGACUGAGACACGGCCCACACACCUACGGGUGGCAGCAGUUGGGAAUCUUGCACAAUGGGGGAAACCCUGAUGCAGCGACGCCGCGUGGAGGAUGACGGAUCUAGGUCUGUAAACUCCUUUUUCAGGGAAAGACUUAGGACGGUACCCUGAGAAUAAGGACCGGCUAACUACGUGCCAGCAGCCGC
rnacentral:rRNA from 1 species